rnacentral:rRNA from 1 species
CAGCAGCCGCGGUAAUGCGAAGGGGGCUAGCGUUGUUCGGAAUCACUGGGCGUAAAGCGCACGUAGGCGGAUCCUUAAGUCAGAGGUGAAAUCCCAAGGCUCAACCUUGGAACUGCCUUUGAUACUGGGGAUCUCGAGUCCGGGAGAGGUGAGUGGAACUGCGAGUGUAGAGGUGAAAUUCGUAGAUAUUCGCAAGAACACCAGUGGCGAAGGCGACUCACUGGCCCAUUACUGACGCUGAGGCGCGAAAGCGUGGGGAGCAAACAGGAUUAGAUACCCGUGUAGUCCCUGUCUCUUAUAC